rnacentral:rRNA from 1 species
UACGUACGAGGCGAGCGUUAUCCGGAAUUACUGGGCGUAAAGCGCGCGCAGGUGGCUCAUUAAGUUGGACGUGAAAUCUCCCGGCCUAACUGGGAGGGGUCGUCCAAUACUGGUGAGCUUGAGGACUGCAGAGGUGGGUGGAAUUCCUGGUGUAGUGGUGAAAUGCGUAGAGAUCAGGAGGAACACCGGUGGCGAAGGCGGCCCACUGGGCAGUCACUGACGCUGAGGCGCGAAAGCUCGGGGAGCGAACGGG